CGGUUUAAGCAUGUAGGCUGAUUGUCCAGGCAAAUCCGGAUAAUCAAGGCUGAGGUGUGAUGACGAGGCACUACGGUGCUGAAGUAACAAAUGCCCUGCUUCCAGGAAAAGCCUCUAAGCAUCAGGUAACAUUAAAUCGUACCCCAAACCGACACAGGUGGUCAGGUAGAGAAUACCAAGGCGCUUGAGAGAACUCGGGUGAAGGAACUAGGCAAAAUGGUGCCGUAACUUCGGGAGAAGGCACGCUGGUGUGUAGGUGAAGUCCCUGCGGAUGGAGCUGAGACCAGUCGAAGAUACCAGCUGGCUGCAACUGUUUAUUAAAAACACAGCACUGUGCAAACACGAAAGUGGACGUAUACGGUGUGACGCCUGCCCGGUGCCGGAAGGUUAAUUGAUGGGGUUAUCCGUAAGGAGAAGCUCUUGAUCGAAGCCCCGGUAAACGGCGGCCGUAACUAUAACGGUCCUAAGGUAGCGAAAUUCCUUGUCGGGUAAGUUCCGACCUGCACGAAUGGCGUAAUGAUGGCCAGGCUGUCUCCACCCGAGACUCAGUGAAAUUGAACUCGCUGUGAAGAUGCAGUGUACCCGCGGCAAGACGGAAAGACCCCGUGAACCUUUACUAUAGCUUGACACUGAACAUUGAGCCUUGAUGUGUAGGAUAGGUGGGAGGCUUUGAAGCGUGGACGCCAGUCUGCGUGGAGCCAACCUUGAAAUACCACCCUUUAAUGUUUGAUGUUCUAACGUUGGCCCCUGACCGGGGUUGCGGACAGUGUCUGGUGGGUAGUUUGACUGGGGCGGUCUCCUCCCAAAGCGUAACGGAGGAGCACGAAGGUUAGCUAAUCCUGGUCGGACAUCAGGAGGUUAGUGCAAUGGCAUAAGCUAGCUUGACUGCGAGCGUGACGGCGCGAGCAGGUGCGAAAGCAGGUCAUAGUGAUCCGGUGGUUCUGAAUGGAAGGGCCAUCGCUCAACGGAUAAAAGGUACUCCGGGGAUAACAGGCUGAUACCGCCCAAGAGUUCAUAUCGACGGCGGUGUUUGGCACCUCGAUGUCGGCUCAUCACAUCCUGGGGCUGAAGUAGGUCCCAAGGGUAUGGCUGUUCGCCAUUUAAAGUGGUACGCGAGCUGGGUUUAGAACGUCGUGAGACAGUUCGGUCCCUAUCUGCCGUGGGCGCUGGAGAAUUGAGGGGGGCUGCUCCUAGUACGAGAGGACCGGAGUGGACGCAUCACUGGUGUUCGGGUUGUCAUGCCAAUGGCACUGCCCGGUAGCUAAAUGCGGAAGAGAUAAGUGCUGAAAGCAUCUAAGCACGAAACUUGCCCCGAGAUGAGUUCUCCCUGAGACUUUAAGUCUCCUGAAGGAACGUUAAAGACGAUGACGUUGAUAGGCCGGGUGUGUAAGCGCAGCGAUGCGUUGAGCUAACCGGUACUAAUGAACCGUGAGGCUUAACCUU
rnacentral:rRNA from 1 species